AGCCCCAACCGGGAAUUGAACCCGGAUAUUCAGCUUAGAAGGCUGGUGUUCUAUCCAUUAAACUAUUAAGGC
rnacentral:tRNA from 1 species